UACGAAGGGGGCUAGCGUUGCUCGGAAUUACUGGGCGUAAAGGGCGCGUAGGCGGACAGUUUAGUCGGGGGUGAAAUCCCGGGGCUCAACCCCGGAACUGCCUUCGAUACUGGCUGUCUUGAGUUUGGGAGAGGUGAGUGGAAUGCCGAGUGUAGAGGUGAAAUUCGUAGAUAUUCGGCGGAACACCAGUGGCGAAGGCGACUCACUGGCCCGAUACUGACGCUGAUGCGCGAAAGCGUGUGGAG
rnacentral:rRNA from 1 species